rnacentral:snRNA from 1 species
UUCUUAGAAUGGAGAAUUUCGAA